rnacentral:rRNA from 1 species
UACGGAGGGAGCUAGCGUUAAUCGGAAUUACUGGGCGUAAAGCGUGCGCAGGCGGUUUUGUAAGUCUGUCGUGAAAGCCCCGGGCUCAACCUGGGAAUUGCGAUGGAGACUGCAAGGCUUGAAUCUGGCAGAGGGGGGUAGAAUUCCACGUGUAGCAGUGAAAUGCGUAGAGAUGUGGAGGAACACCGAUGGCGAAGGCAGCCCCCUGGGUCAAGAUUGACGCUCAUGCACGAAAGCGUGGGGAGCAAACAGG